rnacentral:rRNA from 1 species
GACGAACGCUGGCGGCGUGCUUAACACAUGCAAGUCGAACGGAAAGGCCCUGCUUUUGUGGGGUGCUCGAGUGGCGAACGGGUGAGUAACACGUGAGUAACCUGCCCUUGACUUUGGGAUAACUUCAGGAAACUGGGGCUAAUACCGGAUAGGAGCUCCUGCUGCAUGGUGGGGGUUGGAAAGUUUCGGCGGUUGGGGAUGGACUCGCGGCUUAUCAGCUUGUUGGUGGGGUAGUGGCUUACCAAGGCUUUGACGGGUAGCCGGCCUGAGAGGGUGACCGGCCACAUUGGGACUGAGAUACGGCCCAGACUCCUACGGGAGGCAGCAGUGGGGAAUAUUGCACAAUGGGCGGAAGCCUGAUGCAGCAACGCCGCGUGCGGGAUGACGGCCUUCGGGUUGUAAACCGCCUUCGCCUGUGACGAAGCGUGAGUGACGGUAAUGGGUAAAGAAGCACCGGCUAACUACGUGCCAGCAGCCGCGGUGAUACGUAGGGUGCGAGCGUUGUCCGGAUUUAUUGGGCGUAAAGGGCUCGUAGGUGGUUGAUCACCGUCGGAAGUGUAAUCUUGGGGCUUAACCCUGAGCGUGCUUUCAAACGGGUUAGCUAAGGAAGGGAAGGGAGAAAGGAAUUCCACGGGGAGCGGGGAGAUGCCCAGAAUCACGGAGGAACCUCAGCGGGACAGGCGGUUCUUCGGGCCUUUCCUGACGCCGAGGAGCGAAACCCCGGGGAGGCAACAGGCCUCAGAUACCCGCGUAUACCACGCGGAAAACGGGGGGUACUAGGUGCGGGGUGCCAUUCCCCCGGUUUCCGCGCCGUAGCACACGCUCUAAGUACCCCCCCUGGGGGGGGACGGCCGCCAGGCUAGAACUCAAAGGAAUCGACGGGGCCCCGCACAAGCGGCGGAGCAUGCGGAUUAAUUCGGUGCAACGCGUGGAACCUCACCUGGGUUUGACAUGGAUCGGGAGUGCUCAGAGAUGGGUGUGCCUCUUUUGGGGUCGGUUCACAGGUGGUGCAUGGCUGUCGUCAGCUCGUGUCGUGAGAUGUUGGGUUAAGUCCCGCAACGAGCGCAACCCUUGUUCACUGUUGCCAGCACGUUAUGGUGGGGACUCAGUGGAGACCGCCGGGGUCAACUCGGAGGAAGGUGGGGAUGACGUCAAGUCAUCAUGCCCCUUAUGUCCAGGGCUUCACGCAUGCUACAAUGGCUGGUACAGAGAGUGGCGAGCCUGUGAGGGUGAGCGAAUCUCGGAAAGCCGGUCUCAGUUCGGAUUGGGGUCUGCAACUCGACCUCAUGAAGUCGGAGUCGCUAGUAAUCGCAGAUCAGCAACGCUGCGGUGAAUACGUUCCCGGGGCU